rnacentral:rRNA from 1 species
UACGUAGGGUGCAAGCGUUAAUCGGAAUUACUGGGCGUAAAGCGUGCGCAGGCGGUUUUGUAAGUCUGUUGUGAAAUCCCCGGGCUUAACCUGGGAAUUGCGUUGGAGACUGCAAGGCUUGAGUCUGGCAGAGGGGGGUGGAAUUCCACGUGUAGCAGUGAAAUGCGUAGAGAUGUGGAGGAACACCGAUGGCGAAGGCAGCCCCCUGGGCCAAAACUGACGCUCAGGCACGAAAGCGUGGGGAGCAAACAGG